rnacentral:lncRNA from 1 species
AGGUAUUAAAUCCUGUAAAAAAAGGCAACUCAUACAUUUUUUAGUCAAGAUGCUAUUUGAUUCUUGUUUCUGAUGCUACCUUGUCUAGAAAAUUCUUGCCAAGUUUUGCAAGAAUAUAAUGCAUAAAAAACAACUAUAAUUGCAAUUUAAUAAUACUCAAGACUGCUUUGAAGACAUGAAACUAAUUUGCUCCCAAGCCACAGCUGAUUCUGAACCUGCUUCUGGAAGGUCUCCCCUGUCAUACUCUCCAUCAGCCUAGAAGACGCAAGUUCUGCUGCUGCUACUACUCCACUUGGUGGUGGUAAAAUGGCUUCCAGGAAAUUCAUCCUUACUCUUUCUUCGGGAAUGAUCUGUGGUUUCUUCUCAUUCUAUUUGUUAAACAGCUCAUUAUCUUACGCACCUGGGAGCCUCAACCCUCGCAUCUAUCAAGGCGCAAGCCUCACCCACUAUGGCCACGCUCACACCCAUGAGGAGAUGGAGGGU